rnacentral:misc_RNA from 1 species
GAUGAAGAACGUAGCGAAAUGCAAUAAGUAAUGUGAAUUGCAGAAUUCAGUGAAUCAUCGAAUCUUUGAACGCACAUUGCGCCCCCUGGUAUUCCGGGGGGCAUGCCUGUUCGAGCGUCAUUACAACCCUCAAGCUCUGCUUGGUAUUGGGCCCCGCCAGUUCUGGCGGGCCCUAAAGUCAGUGGCGGUGCCUUCCGGCUCCGAGCGUAGUAAUUCUUCUCGCUCUGGAGACCCGGUUGUGUGCUUGCCAACAACCCCCAAUUUUUUAAGGUUGACCUCGGAUCAGGUAGGGAUACCAGCUGAACUUAAGCAUAUCAAUAAGCGGAGGA